rnacentral:tRNA from 1 species
AGGGAUCGUGGAUCAGCAGCAGAACGUUGACUUUCCAUGCAGAAGGUCCCAGGUUCGAUCCCCGGCAUCUCUA